rnacentral:rRNA from 1 species
GAGUUUGAUUCUGGCUCAGGAUGAACGCUAGCGGCAGGCCUAAUACAUGCAAGUCGAGGGGCAGCAUCAUCGCUUGCGAUGGAUGGCGACCGGCGCACGGGUGCGUAACGCGUAUGCAACCUACCCUAUACAGGGGGGGGGCCCGGAGGGGGGGGGAUUAAUACCCCAUGGCAUCAUAAAGUAGCAUUGCUUAAUGAUUAAAGAUUUAUUGGUAUAGGAUGGGCAUGCGUCUGAUUAGUUAGUUGGUGAGGUAACAGCUCACCAAGACGAUGAUCAGUAGGGGUUCUGAGAGGAUGAUCCCCCACACUGGCACUGAGAUACGGGCCAGACUCCUACGGGAGGCAGCAGUAGGGAAUAUUGGUCAAUGGGCGAGAGCCUGAACCAGCCAUGCCGCGUGCAGGAAGACGGCCUUCUGGGUUGUAAACUGCUUUUAACAGGGAACAAAAAGGCUCUGCGGAGCACAUUGCGUGUACCUGAAGAAUAAGCACCGGCUAACUCCGUGCCAGCAGCCGCGGUAAUACGGAGGGUGCAAGCGUUGUCCGGAUUUAUUGGGUUUAAAGGGUGCGUAGGCGGGCAAUUAAGUCAGUGGUGAAAUACUUCGGCUCAACCGGAGAGGUGCCAUUGAAACUGGUUGUCUUGAGUACAGACGAGGUAGGCGGAAUUUAUGGUGUAGCGGGUGAAAUGCAUAGAUACCAUAAGAACACCGAUAGCGAAGGCAGCUUACUGGACUGUAACUGACGCUGAGGCACGAAAGCGUGGGGUAGCGAACAGGGAUUAGAUACCCUGGGUAGUUCCCACCGCUUGUAAAACG